rnacentral:lncRNA from 1 species
GCCACUCCCAGUGAUUCAUGAAGACUGGGGCCUCCUUGCUUUUUUCCUAAGAGACAGCCUGGCUGGUGAUGGGGGCCCCUCCUCCAUCCCAAAUAUGUUUGUCUUUCUGUGAGGGAGGUGUCAAGAUCUUAAGGACAUGUGGAUUCAGAGAGGUUAAGCAAACUGAGGGUCACACAGCACUCCUCAGGGAAUUGCCUGGCUGGAUUUGAACCAAGCAGGCUGAUUCUGGCUUCAACACUGGGCUGGAGAAAGGCACUGAAACCUGCUCUUUGAUAUGGAAGGGGAGGCUACAAGCCUUUCCCAGGACCAGAAGAAACCCAAAUGGUCUUGCAGCUGUGGGGGUUGAGAGGCCCCUACCUGGGCUCUUUUCCAUUGUCUGGAGGCAGGGAGCCCAGCAGCCAUUUUGAAGACAGGUCUAGAGUUUUGAUGGGGGAUUCCAGGCCCCCAAGCUAGAGCCUCACCCAGUGAUACCAGCUGUCCAGGACAGCAGACAGAAGCAACCCCCAUAGGAAUUCCCCUCUUUAUUUAGAAACCUGAACCCUAGCUGGGACUCAGGGUAGGAGGUGGUAGGGUUGCAGAAGUGCCAGAAGCCAGCCCAGAGUCAAUGAGUUUUCUCCAAAUAGCUAUGCUUCAUCCAGCUCCUCUAGUCCUGGAUCAAAUGGCACCUCCUCAGAGAGUCCUUCUCUGCACAUCUCAUUCCCUCUUUAGCCCCUUAUCUGCUUACCACCUGGCAGUAUAUUAUAUCAAUUAUGUGUCUAUCCCAUUAAAAUGUGAGCACCUUAAAGACAGGACUGUGUUAUUCACCAAUGUGUCUCUAGCAUCUUAAAUAGUACUUAGGGGACUGGGGUAUAGCUCAGCGGUGGAGCAUUUGCUUAGCAUGCAUGAAGCCCUUGGUUUGAUUCCUAGCACCACAAAAUACAAAAUAAAACAAAAGUACUUGGCAUGUUCUGACUCUAAGACCUUUGUACUUCCCAUC